rnacentral:rRNA from 1 species
UCAUGGCUCAKAACGAACGCUGGCGGCGUGCCUAACACAUGCAAGUCGAACGGAUUUGAGGGGCUUGCUCCUCAAGUUAGUGGCGCACGGGUGAGUAACGCGUAGAUAAUCUGCCUGAUGAUCCGGGAUAACACUUCGAAAGGGGUGCUAAUACCGGAUAAGCCCACGGGGUCUUUGGAUUCUGCGGGAAAAGGGGGGGACCUUCGGGCCUUCUGUCAUCAGAUGAGUCUGCGUACCAUUAGCUAGUUGGUAGGGUAAUGGCCUACCAAGGCUACGAUGGUUAGCUGGUUUGAGAGAAUGAUCAGCCACACUGGAACUGAGACACGGUCCAGACUCCUACGGGAGGCAGCAGUGGGGAAUUUUGCGCAAUGGGCGAAAGCCUGACGCARCAACGCCGCGUGAGUGAUGAAGGCUUUCGGGUCGUAAAGCUCUGUCGAGGGGAAAGAAGUGUAUUGUGGCUAAUAUCCGCGAUACUUGACGGUACCCCUAAAGGAAGCACCGGCUAACUCCGUGCCAGCAGCCGCGGUAAUAC